rnacentral:rRNA from 1 species
UACACCACCGCCCGUCACACCAUGGGAGUGGGUUGCACCAGAAGUAGCUAGUCUAACCUUCGGGAGGACGGUUACCACGGUGUGAUUCAUGACUGGGGUGAAGUCGUAAACAAGGUACC